UAGGGAAUCUUCCACAAUGGACGAAAGUCUGAUGGAGCAACGCCGCGUGAGUGAAGAAGGUUUUCGGAUCGUAAAACUCUGUUGUGAGGGAAGAACAAGUACGAGAGUAACUGCUCCCACCUUGACGGUUCCUCAUUAGAAAGCCACGGCUAACUACGUG
rnacentral:rRNA from 2 species